rnacentral:lncRNA from 1 species
AGGUGGAUCAUAAUAUUGUGCCAAAGAGCCGAUAAUUCCAUAGUCAACUUUCUUAGUCAGAAGACUCAAAAUUUUCCCAUAGUCUUUUCAGAACUCAUCACGUCUGCUGAGAGUCAAAUCAGAGAUCAAACCCUUCAGACUGUCCAGCUUAGGUUCCUUGUACUUAAGUGUGAAAGUGUGUCUCCUUGAAGUUGUCAUUUUCAAGUUCUCAAUUCCUG